AAUAAGUGCAGUUUUGCACUAUUCACGUUCAACGUUUAACCGUUCGUCUUAUUUGAAUUUUUUUUUAUGAUUAGCAUUUUUAUUGCUAUUAGAUGAUAAAAUAUGAAUAGUCCUUUAUGUGUGAUUAAAUAUUUUCAAUUUUUUCACAAAUUUUUCAAAUAAGAUAGACGGUCAAACGUUGGGCACGGAUAUCCACGACUGCACUUAUU
rfam:Oryza sativa Japonica Group DNA, chromosome 3, cultivar: Nipponbare, complete sequence.